GGGUAGUGGAGGAGAAAGCAAGUUUGAAAUACAGAAAGCCAGAAGCUGGUCUGUGGAAAAACUUCCAAUCAGGAGGACAACAUCGAUCGGAGCCUCCAAGCCCCUGACGACAGCAGGUGCCCAGUGACUACUUACUGGCUCCCUUAGCCAGUGGUUCAAAUGGUCUCGGUCGCGAGUUUGGAACCGGAUGGAAAAGAGCGGCAAUCCCAGUCCAGGGGAGGCCAAGGAGUGUGGGGGAGCCCAGGAGUGUGGGGGAGCCGUCACAGGUGCGAAGAGCCCAUGGCACCCAGCGCUGCGACCCGCAGAGGCAGAGAAAUUCGGAGGGAAGGGGCUGCUGCGGCCCCGUGGGAACGAACGGAGCCACAAAUGCAAGCCACCUAUGACAAUUUCCAUUCCUAGUGGCCACAUUAAAAAAAAAAAAAAAAAAAA